rnacentral:misc_RNA from 1 species
GAAAUGCGAUAAGUAAUGUGAAUUGCAGAAUUCAGUGAAUCAUCGAAUCUUUGAACGCACAUUGCGCCCGCCGGUAUUCCGGCGGGCAUGCCUGUUCGAGCGUCAUUUCACCACUCAAGCCCUGCUUGGCGUUGGGGCACCCGGUCCGCCGGGGCCCCCAAGUCCAUCGGCGGCCCCGCCCCGGCCCCAGGAGCAGUAACACGCGGCGACGCGCGCCUCUCCUGGUGCCCCGGCGCGGCCUGCCGCAAAACCAAGCCUCAAGGUUGACCUCGGAUCAGGUAGGAAUACCCGCUGAACUUAA